GACGAACGCUGGCGGCGUGCUUAACACAUGCAAGUCGAACGGAAAGGCCCUGCUUUUGUGGGGUGCUCGAGUGGCGAACGGGUGAGUAACACGUGAGUAACCUGCCCUUGACUUUGGGAUAACUUCAGGAAACUGGGGCUAAUACCGGAUAGGAGCUCCUGCUGCAUGGUGGGGGUUGGAAAGUUUCGGCGGUUGGGGAUGGACUCGCGGCUUAUCAGCUUGUUGGUGGGGGAGUGGCUUACCAAGGCUUUGACGGGUAGCCGGCCUGAGAGGGUGACCGGCCACAUUGGGACUGAGAUACGGCCCGGACUCCUACGGGAGGCAGCAGUGGGGAAUAUUGCACAAUGGGCGGAAGCCUGAUGCAGCAACGCCGCGUGCGGGAUGACGGCCUUCGGGUUGUAAACCGCUUUCGCCUGUGACGAAGCGUGAGUGACGGUAAUGGGUAAAGAAGCACCGGCUAACUACGUG
rnacentral:rRNA from 1 species